CACUGGGUGGAAAACCUAAAGGCGMAAUGAAAGUGAAGGGGGCCUCUGGCCCCCGAGGGAAGAUGGGCGUCCGUCCUUCGCAGGCGGCGCCCCGCACUCCCGGGGCGUCUCUUUCUCGUUACGAGUGGAGGCGCACCUGUAGCGCACACGCUGAUACCCGAAAGAUGGUGAACUAUGCCUGGCCAGGACGAAGCCAGGGGAAACCCUGGUGGAGGUCCGCAGCGAUUCUGACGUGCAAAUCGAUCGUCGGAGCUGGGUAUAGGGGCGAAAGACCAAUCGAACCAUCUAGUAGCUGGUUCCCUCUGAA
rnacentral:rRNA from 1 species